CAGCCGCCGCGGUAAUACGUAGGGUGCAAGCGUUGUCCGGAAUCAUUGGGCGUAAAGCGCGCGUAGGCGGCCCGAUAAGUCCGCUGUAAAAGUCAACGGCUCAACUGUUGAAAGCCGGUGGAUACUGUCGGGCUAGAGUACGGAAGAGGCAAGUGGAAUUCCUGGUGUAGCGGUGGAAUGCGCAGAUAUCAGGAGGAACACCUAUAGCGAAGGCAGCUUGCUGGGACGUUACUGACGCUAAGGCGCGAAAGCGUGGGGAGCGAACAGGAUUAGAUACCCUGGUAGUCCACGCCGUAAACGAUGAGAACUAGGUGUGGGAGGUGUCGACUCCUCCCGUGCCGUCGCUAACGCAUUAAGUUCUCCGCCUGGGGAGUACGGCCGCAAGGCUAAAACUUAAAGGAAUUGACGG
rnacentral:rRNA from 1 species